UGCAUAGGAAUCUACCUAGUAGUAUGGGAUAGCCACUAGAAAUGGUGGGUAAUACUGUAUAAUCCCUGCGGGGGAAAGAUUUAUCGCUAUUAGAUGAGCCUAUGUUAGAUUAGCUAGUUGGUAGGGUAAAGGCCUACCAAGGCGAUGAUCUAUAGCUGGUCUGAGAGGAUGAUCAGCCACACUGGGACUGAGAUACGGUCCAGACUCCUACGGGAGGCAGCAGUGGGGAAUAUUGGACAAUGGGCGCAAGCCUGAUCCAGCUAUGCCGCGUGAGUGAGGAAGGCCUUAGGGUUGUAAACUCUUUCAGUAGGGAAGAUAAUGACGGUACCUACAGAAGAAGUCCCGGCAAACUCCGUGCCAGCAGCCGCGGUAAUACGGAGGGGGCAAGCGUUGUUCGGAAUUAUUGGGCGUAAAGGGCAUGUAGGCGGUUCGGUAAGUUAAAGGUGAAAUGCCAGGGCUUAACCCUGGAGCUGCUU
rnacentral:rRNA from 1 species